UAAUAGUGUAUAUUAAAGUUGUUGCAGUUAAAAAGCUCGUAGUUGAAUGUUGGUGUCGAACGAGCGGUCAGCUUCGGCUGUACUGCUCUCUCGACUCCUUCCUUCUGUGGACUACGUCGCACUUUACUGUGUGGCGCUAGGACGCAGAUCGUUUACUGUGAAAAAAUUAGAGUGUUCAAAGCAGGCCGUACGCUUGAAUACAUUAGCGUGGAAUAAUGGAAUAGGACGUCGGGCCUAUUUUGUUGGUUCUAGGACCGUCGUAAUGAUUAAUAGGGACAGUUGGGGCCGUUUAUAUUCCGUAGUCAGAGGUGAAAUUCUUGGAUUUACGGAAGAUAAACUACUGCGAAAGCAUUCGGCAAGGAUGUUUUCGUUAA
rnacentral:rRNA from 1 species